rnacentral:rRNA from 1 species
GUUUGAUCCCUGGCUCAGAAUGAACGCUGGCGGCGUGCCUAACACAUGCAAGUCGAGCGAGAAAGAGAGCUUCGGCUCUUGAGUAAAGCGGCGCACGGGUGAGUAACGCGUGGAUAAUCUGCCUUAAGGACCGGGACAACUUUGCGAAAGCGGAGCUAAUACCGGAUGGUCUGCAUUUGUUUAUUACAUAUGUAGUAAAGGAUGGCCUCUGAUUUAAGCCAUUGCCUUGAGAUGAGUCCGCGUCUCAUUAGCUAGUUGGUGGGGUAAGAGCCUACCAAGGCGACGAUGAGUAGCUGGUCUGAGAGGAUGAUCAGCCACACUGGAACUGGAACACGGUCCAGACUCCUACGGGAGGCAGCAGUGGGGAAUAUUGGGCAAUGGGGGCAACCCUGACCCAGCAACGCCGUGUGAGGGAAGAAGGUUUUCGGAUCGUAAACCUCUGUCAGAAGGGAAGAAGUGCAUGCCAAGUAAUAUGUGGUAUGUUUGACGGUACCUUCAGAGGAAGCACCGGCUAACUCCGUGCCAGCAGCCGCGGUAAUACGGAGGGUGCGAGCGUUAUUCGGAAUUACUGGGCGUAAAGCGCGCGUAGGCUGCGCGGCAAGUCAGAUGUGAAAUCCCCGGGCUCAACCUGGGAAUUGCAUUUGAAACUGCCGUGCUUGAGUGAGGUAGAGGGUGGCGGAAUUCCCGGUGUAGGAGUGAAAUCCGUAGAUAUCGGGAGGAACACCAGUGGCGAAGGCGGCCACCUGGGCCUUUACUGACGCUGAGGUGCGAAAGCGUGGGUAGCAAACAGGAUUAGAUACCCUGGUAGUCCACGCUGUAAACGAUGGAUACUAGGUGCUGGGAUAGAAUUUCGGUGCCGUAGCUAACGCGUUAAGUAUCCCGCCUGGGGAGUACGAUCGCAAGGUUGAAACUCAAAGAAAUUGACGGGGGCCCGCACAAGCGGUGGAGUAUGUGGUUUAAUUCGAUGCAACGCGAAGAACCUUACCUGGACUUGACAUCCUGCGAAUUUCUGUAGAGAUACGAAAGUGCCCUUCGGGGAGCGCAGAGACAGGUGCUGCAUGGCUGUCGUCAGCUCGUGCCGUGAGGUGUUGGGGUUAAGUCCCGCAACGAGCGCAACCCCUAUUCUUA